rnacentral:rRNA from 1 species
UGGCGAUGAACGGGAAUAGCCCAUCGUCGAACUGCAGGUCAUCUUGGCCUCGCGGAAUGUGGCGUUUGGGAGAGUCUUAUCGCAGAUCGGACGGCCAGUCAAAGUCCAACUUGACAGUGGCCACUGCCCGUAGAGGGUGAUAGGCCCGUAAGGCGGCUGUCCGUCGGCGCCGACUUUUCCCUAGAGUCGGGUUGCUUGGGAGUGCAGCCCAAAGUGCGAGGUAAACUCCUCGUAAGGCUAAAUAUGACCCCGAGACCGAUAGCAAACAAGUACCGUGAGGGAAGAUUGAAAAGAACUUUGAAGAGAGAGUUCAAGAGUACGUGAAACUGUGUGGUGGUAAACGGAGGGGUUCUCGAAGUUUCUGAGGGGGACUCAACCUUGGUGGCGACUCGGCCUGGCUGUGUGGGAUCAGCAAUGACUCAUCGGUCGGUGUCCGUUUGCCUCCCGGACGCACUUUCUCCUCAGUUUACGGCAGGAACCGUUAGGAGCGGACCAAAGGCUCGGGGUGAAGUUGUCGGUUAUGCUGGCAGCCCCCGGUGUCCUGGCUUUGCACCUGACGGGUAUGUAAGCGGACUCGUAUAGCGAGCAAUUCUCUAUUGCGGUUCGCAUCUCUCUGCCGAGUAGGUCGGUGGCCCCUCCGACCCGUCUUGAAACACGGACC